rnacentral:rRNA from 1 species
AGGACACGCUGGCGGCGUGCUUAAAACAUGCAAGUCGAACGGACUUCUCAUGAAGCUUGCGAUUGAGAAGUUAGUAGCGGACGGGUGAGUAACGCGUGGGCAACCUGCCCCUGAUCCCGGGAUAACAGUUCGAAAGGACUGCUAAGACCGGAUAUACUUGCGGGGAAGCAUUUCACUGCAAGGAAAGGGAACGCUCAGGGAUGGGCCCGCGUCCCAUUAGCUAGUUGGUGAGGUAACGGCCCACCAAGGCGACGAUGGGUAGCCGGCCUGAGAGGGUGAACGGCCACACUGGGACUGAGACACGGCCCAGACUCCUACGGGAGGCAGCAGUUGGGAAUCUUCGGCAAUGGGCGCAAGCCUGACCGAGCAACGCCGCGUGAGUGAUGAAGGUUUUCGGAUUGUAAAGCUCUGUCUUCCGGGACGAUAAUGACGGUACCGGAGGAGGAAGCCACGGCUAACUACGUG